rnacentral:rRNA from 1 species
UACGUAGGGGGCAAGCGUUGUCCGGAUUUAUUGGGCGUAAAGAGCGUGUAGGCGGCUUUACAGGUCCGUUGUGAAAACUCGAGGCUCAACCUCGAGACGCCGGUGGAAACCGUAAGGCUAGAGUCCGGAAGAGGAGAGUGGAAUUCCUGGUGUAGCGGUGAAAUGCGCAGAUAUCAGGAGGAACACCGAGUGGCGAAAGGCA